rnacentral:tmRNA from 1 species
GGGGGCGUAAUGGUCUCGACGGGAUAGUGAAUUUAAGUUAAGCAUGUCGUAGGGUAUUGCGUCUACGUUAAAACGCUAAAUUAAAUUUUUAAAUGCAGAACAACCUGCAAAAUUGGCUGCUUAAUUUAAUGGCGCCAUGUCUAACUUAGUUGUACUCAAAGACUAGGAUUAGAUAUCAGAUUAUUUGAGUAACUUGUACUUUGAUGCUUAAGGUCGGGUACAUUUUAUUAAUCUUAAGAUGGAUAAAUAAGUUUUUGUUAAUUUUUGGUAUUUAUUCAAUUCACAAGAAUUAAAUAAGCAUGUAGAAAGACUUAAAAGUCGCUUUUUCGGACGCGGGUUCAACUCCCGCCGCUUCCACCA